CUCGGCGGGCUCCAGCCUCAGCUCCCACUGGAGGGCUCAAGGGCCCGGGUAACCGGAGCCGCAGGGAGAGCUGGGAGCCCGCGGCAGAGUCCAGAAGGGGUAGGGAUGGGGUUCUCUUUUCUGCGGUCCUCCCUGUGCCCCCUCCAGGGGCGCCCACCGCAUCUUCACCCCGGAGUCUGCGCCGCGACACUUACCGUGGGCGAGCAGCGCCGAGAGGCAGAGCAGAGCGGCGCCACCGCGGCCCGACAUCUCUGGGGCCAUGACAGAGAAAUUCCAGGCAACUUUAAUCCAUCCGGAGAAGGAAAAGUUUCCGUGCAGUGCUGAGAAGGGAGAGGCGGGUCGCCACCACCUUAGGCGACGCCCGGUUGGAAAGCUCGAGGUGGGCGUCCAGAUGUCUGUCCCCUCGAAGAGCUCGCUCUUGGACUCCAGCGCGCUCCCUCGUCUCUAUCAGGGCCCGCGCUCAGCACAGGCCGGCUCCGCGCAGCCUGGCCCGGCAGCAGCUCCGCGGCUGGCGCGAGGGUGGCGAGGCGGGAACCGGUUGCCCCAUGGAGACAGGGGUUGGAGAAAUGAGGGAGCGGGAAAUCCAGCUACUACGCCCCGACCCGGGCCCGUCCUGCUCGAAGCGUGGACUCCAGCCUCCAACCCAUCAACGCUGCAGGACGGCGAGGGGCUCGGCCAGCGACAGCUCCGGAGCCCCCCUCUCUUCUCUCAGGUCUCGCCUUCUCAGCAGGGGGGCACGCUGCCCAGCCUCACUCCUCGCCUUCCCUGGGGGGACCUGCACAAACCUUGAACUUUUCCGGGGUUCAGCGUCUCCGACGCCUCCUCCUCCCUGCGCCCCCGCCCUGCCCCUGGACGCCGGCUCCUCCACCGGCUCGCGCUGGGAUCCAGUGGGGCUUGUGGCCGCUGCGUUUCUCCCGGGUAGAUGCCACUGCAGUCUCCGAUGUUCCCUUUCAAAGGAUGCAAGCUCCCCGCCGGCGCCGGAGGUGUUCUGCAGCCGUUCUGCCAGAGGCUCGGGUAGGGGCACCCCACCCCCACCCCCAGAGUCUGCUUGGGGCUUUCCAGGGACCCAGAGUGGGAAUCAGCCUAGCUGGUGCGCCUAGCUCCUCUCAGGUCCCGCCGUGUGGGAGCUCUCUGGUUCUGCGUCUUCCUGCGGUGCACGGAGGAGCGGAGGAGAGGAAGGCACAGCCUGGGGCAGACCCAGCCGGCCAGCCGUAGAGGGGUCGGAGAGGACGGGAUGCCUGCCUACAGAUCAGACCGGACAAGUCAACUGUCUAUCAGUCUUUGGAUCCAUGGCGGUGAUUUUACAGCAUCAGAGAAAUGGCAUCUUGUUUAUGGAAAACGGACUUGGAUCGCUCUUAAGAUCCCCCCUCCACCCUGGCUGCUGGCUGUGUCCCUGCUUCAGCUUGGCACUGGGACCCAGGAGACUGCUCUCGCCCCUCCCCAACCCCACAUCUGCCUGGAACCGGAGGUGUGGCCUGAGGAAACUGGCUGGGCUUUUGCAGGUCUUGGGGAUAGGAGGUGCUGGAGUAGUCAGAGAUGAUUCUCAUUAGGCCUGUAAUGCCUGGUGGCAAUUAAUGUCACCCAAGGGCUUAUUACCCAUCCCACUGAGAGGCAAACCAGCAAUCAGGCUGUGUGUGGGAGAAGGGGAAAGGAGCAACCUCCUGAGGCAGGGAGGGCUCUAGAAGGGGGCAGGAAUUGGGGAGUGGUCCUUUUAUCCCUGCCCACUUGCCUCAUUGGAAGAGACCCAAAACUGAGGUUGGUCGGAAAGAAGGUAGAAAGCAAGGUUGUUUCUUCAGUGAUACUGACCAAAGAUGUUCAUCUUCACAGUACUUCAAAGCUGCCCAGGAGCCUGAAGGUCCUCGGCUUCAGCCCGUUCCCCUGGCCAUCUCUGAAAACUGGCAGGGUCUUCUCUGGUUAGGGUCGUCCAGUGACUCAGACACGGGCUUCUCUCUGCCCUGACUUCAUUUCUCUUCCUUCCUCCCUUCCUUUUAUACCAGCACUGAGUAUCUCCAGCAUCACAGGCAUUAUUGGCCCAACAGUGAGCAAGAGAGAAGUACCCCUUGCCUCAUGAAUUCCCACUCUAGAGGAGAAGGCAGAACACAGAGCUUCUACCCAGAGAUGGCUAUGACUCCUGGUGUUGCAUGCUUUUGCUCAUCUUAAGAAGACCUGUGUCAGGAAGGGCAAGGGAACCGUGAUUUCUGCCCUGCUCUUCCUGUACCUGCCGUGUGGACCUGCCCUUCAUGGACUGGGGCCCCCUGCUGGGUUAAACUCCCAGCUCAGAUUCCAGGACCCUACUUUAUCCACAAGUAAGGAGAAUGUCAGUGGAAGGCCAGCUUGUGGAUUUCCCAGGUAGAGACCUGGCUCUAGUUCCUGUAAGGCAAGGUGACUGGACUAGUCUGGGCAGGCUGCCAUAACAGCCCACCACAGACUGGGUGACUUAAACAAUGAG
rnacentral:lncRNA from 1 species